CCUACCGUGGUGUAGCGGUUAACACGUCUGACUCGGCUUGUCAGAAUAUGUGCGUUCGAAUCCCAUUGGCGGCG